rnacentral:rRNA from 1 species
UACGUAGGGUGCGAGCGUUAAUCGGAAUUACUGGGCGUAAAGCGUGCGCAGGCGGUCUGUUAAGACCGAUGUGAAAUCCCCGGGCUUAACCUGGGAACUGCAUUGGUGACUGGCAGGCUUUGAGUGUGGCAGAGGGAGGUAGAAUUCCACGUGUAGCAGUGAAAUGCGUAGAGAUGUGGAGGAAUACCGAUGGCGAAGGCAGCCUCCCUGGGCCAACACUGACGCUCAUGCACGAAAGCGUGGGGAGCAAACAGG